GGCUGGUGAUCCAAUCCAGACCUACUUUGCUGCAUCAUCUGUACUGAGCACACUAAGACAGCCAGUGGGAAUGGGUGCCGAUGGACUUUGUAUUGAUGGGAAUCCUGCUGGUUUCCUGGAGAGUAAAAGGACAAGCUGUACUCGGACCUUCACCAACCUGAGCAGCAGCUGCACCACUGAUCCUACCCUGGACGCAGCCUCAUAUUACCGUGACUUCACUAUACUAAAGGUCCCAGUUAAUAUGACCGUUGUCCAGCUCAUGCAGGUGAGACUCUGCCAAUGAAAAUAAU